GAUGAACGCUGGCGGCGUGCCUAAUACAUGCAAGUCGAGCGAACAGGCGAGGAGCUUGCUGCGCUGACGUUAGCGGCGGGCGGGUGAGUAACGCGUGGAUAACCUACCUGUAAGAGGGGGAUAACUUCGGGAAACCGGAGCUAAUACCGGAGAAGAUAUUGAACCGCGUGGGUCAAUAGUGAAAGACGGUGUUGCGGUCACGUAUAGAUGGAUCCGCGCCGCAUGAGCUGGUUGGUAAGGUAACGGGUUACGAAGGCAACGAUGCGUAGCCGACCGGAGAGGGUGGUAGGCCACAUUGGAACUGGGCCACGGUCCAGACUACUAAGGGAGGCAGCAGUAGGGAACCUUCCGCAACGGGCGAAAGCAUGACGCAGCAACGCGGAGCGAGUGAUGAAGGUCCUCGGAUCGUAAAACUCUGUUACUAGGGAAGAACCAAUGUGUAAGUAAAUAUGCACGUCUUGACGGUACCUAAUCAGAAAGCCACGGCUAACUACGUG
rnacentral:rRNA from 1 species